rnacentral:rRNA from 1 species
CGGCAACAGCUCAAAUUUGAAAUCUGGCCCCUUCGGGGUCCGAGUUGUAAUUUGUAGAGGAUGCUUCGGCGUUGGCGCCGGUCUAAGUUCCUUGGAACAGGACGUCAUAGAGGGUGAGAAUCCCGUAUGCGACCGGCUGCCAUCUCCUUGUGAAGCUCCUUCGAC